UACGAAGGGGUCUAGCGUUGCUCGGAAUCACUGGGCGUAAAGCGCCCGUAGGCGGACUCUUAAGUCGGUGGUGAAAUCCUGGAGCUCAACUCCAGAACUGCCUUCGAUACUGGGAGUCUCGAGUUCGGGAGAGGUGAGUGGAACUGCGAGUGUAGAGGUGAAAUUCGUAGAUAUUCGCAAGAACACCAGUGGCGAAGGCGGCUCACUGGCCCGAUACUGACGCUGAGGUGCGAAAGCGUGGGGAGCAAACAGG
rnacentral:rRNA from 1 species